CCAAUAGCGUAUAUUAAAGUUGUUGCAGUUAAAAAGCUCGUAGUUGAACUUCGGGAUCAAUUGGUUGGUCAUGCCUUGGUAUGUGCCGUUCAUAUUGGUUCUCACCUUCUAAUGAACCAUAAUGUCAUUUAUUUGAUGUUAUGGGGAAUUAGGACUGUUACCUUGAAAAAAUUAGAGUGUUUAAAGCAGGCUAACGCUUGAAUACAUAAGCAUGGAAUAAUGAAAUAGGACAUCGCAUUCUAUUUUGUUGGUUUUUAGGAUCGAUGUAAUGAUUAAUAGGGAUAGUUGGGGGCAUUAGUAUUCAAUUGUCAGAGGUGAAAUUCUUGGAUUUAUUGAAGACUAACUACUGCGAAAGCAUUUGCCAAGGAUGUUUUCAUUAAUCAAGAACGAAAGUUAGGGGAUCGAAGACGAUCAGAUACCGUCGUAGUCUUAACCAUAAACUAUGCCGACUAGGGAUCGGAUGAUGUUGAUUUUUUAAUGACUCAUUCGGCACCUUACG
rnacentral:rRNA from 1 species